UGGGAAAAAUUAAGCUAUUCCCUGCAAUCUUAUACUCCAACACAAAGUCGAAAACCAUAUGGCAUAACGGAUAUGGAACAGCUGAUUCCAUGGCCAUAUUCAUUCGAAUGAAACCGAACUAAUAUCGAUCGCAGGAUAUCCACACCCAUCGCUAUUCUGAGUGUUAACUGUUGUUGUUGUUGUUGUUGUUGUUGUUGUUGUUGUUGUUGUUGUUGUUGCUAUCGGCCGAUCCCAAGUCGACCACCACCAAUGCUCACAAUUCAACUGAUCAAUGCCACCCCACACACACACACAUACACCUCCUCGCCACAAUUAACAUUCGAUCCAACAUUGACUGA